UCUCCACUUCCUUCCUCCGCCCCUUCCUUGUUUCUCUCCAAGUACUCUUGAAAGAAGAACUUCUCUCCUCAAUUCUUUGCCCCCCAAGGUUAAGCUUUCUGUGCUUAGACCAGGCACACAUAAUCAGCAAAAAGCCCAGAAACUUCCUCCUAGGAAGGUUUCCUAUCUCAUCCACACCAGAAGGAAUCAUUUCCCCACUUAAAAAAAAAAAUUAAACUAUAUAUAUCCCAUAGCUGAUAGUCUGCAUUUUCUGCGGUUAAAAACUUACUUAACCAAAAGAAAAAGGAGUAAUCUCUUUCUUUUUUCCUUUCCUUUCUUUAUCUGAAGAAAACAAGGCACUUACUAAAAUAUUUGAGAAUUCCUUAAAACAUCUGCUUGGCUUGUGCACGUGUAGUUAACCUUUUCAAUCUCCGAACAUCCUUGUUUGGAUGACAUCACACCCAGAAACACACACAAACACAGAUCGCCAACAAAUGUCGGGUACGUGUACAAAUGAGAAACUCACACUUUAGUCCUGUACACACUUUCACGCCCUCUCCUAAAACAUUACACAUCAUUCUCACGGACAUAUAGCCACCAAGAUAAAUUCGAGAAUUCCCGUCUCUGUUUUUCUUGGAGAGAAUUGAAUUCUUGAAAUAUAUCAGUAAAAAUUGUAAAGAAAACACACUUAAUCCUUCUCCACCUCCUCUUGAUAAGUGAUCUUUCAUUUCCAGGUUUGGGGCCUUUUCAUUUCUUAAAUGCACCCAGCCUCCCACAGCACUAGCUGGACCUUUACCUGAAGAGCUCGGCUGUCCUUGGCUCUGGGGCCUUCGCUGUGCUCCAGAAUGAGCGGCACGAAUGCCCCGUCUGCCCCUGAGGGGUGCGACCGCAGAAGAGGCUGAAGGCGAGGGCAAAGCCCUCCAGGCCAGCCCCAGGCACAGAGGGGAAGCCGACCCCACUGAGGUCAGAGCUGCUGGGCCUGUUUGGUGAGUUGACAAGGGACUUCUUUCUCCCACCAUUUCGUGACUACCCUUCACCUGGGGCAAACAUUUUCCGAGAGAAGUGGGCGGACCCGGGCCUGGACUGCGAAUCGCAUCGCAGUUUUCUCCUAUGUCUGGGAGGGAAGCCUCAGGGAGGGGUCAGGUCAGGCCAGAUCAGGACCUCAGAGGCCCAGGGGUGAAAGGAUUGAAGUGACACCUCCGGGCGUAGCUUGAAAUAAAAGGAACACUAAGUUCUAAAGUCACAAAGGUCUGACUUUCCCCCAUAAUGAUGACUUAGAUGUUUUUGUUUGCCAUAUGUAAUGUCAGAUUAUUUCUGAUAUUUAUAUCUUUCCCCCUCUCUUUUUGUUUCUUCCCUCAGGUGCCUCGCUUUGCUGGUGGCCCAAGCACCGUCAGAUGCUGCCUACGGCUAGCCUGGCCCUGGUUCAGGGCAGGGAUGGCGUCCCCGUCCACUCCUAGUUCUGAGGCACACUGCCAGCUCCAGAAGGAACUCGCCUUCCUACAGCACCCGACUGAAGACAGAUCGCCGGUUGAGCUGAACUGAAGGAGAAAGUCCUUGGCAAGAACAGGGGGAUUGGGACUGGCUGGCCGUGGGACUGGAGUCAGGUUGUUGUCAAAGGCGGGUCUGGGUCAAUGGGGACCAGGUUACUAGGAGGGGGGGCUGAUGUUGGCAAGAAGGGGAUGCGGCCUCCAGAUUCUUGACUGCGAGACCUUCCUGGGUCUCCGCUUCCAGAGCUGUAAUUCAAUGAGGGGUUGAAUUAAGGGAGUGGUUUUCAAACUCUUCUUAGAAGUCUUUGUUUUUUCCUUGAACAAAAUUCUACCCAGAACUCCAGCGGGCAGAGCAGACAGAAGUGGGGCUCUUCCGGGGUGUGGGGAGGUAGGGCGGCCAGAAGCAGGGUAGAGUCAUCGGGCCUCGUCCCUCCCAUCAUCCCUGAGGGGCCUUCUUUGUAAGAACAUCCGGCUGGGAACCCACUGAGCUCCAUCUCAGUUCCCUGGUUAGUUUACAACACCUUGGAAAGAGAAGGAGCCUUAGAACACGCCUAUUUCUCAUAUGGACCUCAGGGCACCUGGCAGAGAAAGGCAGUCAGCCUCAUUUCCCCUGGAAAUGAACCACAUUAUUUACUUUAUAAUUUAUCCUUUAUCCACAGCAUACUCUCGCCAUGUUCCUAUUUCCAUGGCAUUGUUUUCAUUUCACCAUUAGCAAGGCAAAGAAGCAGCUUUUUCUCUGACUUAAGAAGAGAGAAGGUUGUCACUUUGCCACUUCACCAGGAAGAAGCCCUGUAUUCGAGUACAGUCUCACCACUGGCAAGCUGUGUGACCUUGGCCCUCUUUGCAAAUGCAAUUUUGAUGCCAUUGAUGCGAGAUCUGGGAUUACAAUUCCUGACCAUUUCAACAGACAUUUGGGGAAGGAAAUAGAAGAAGGGUAAUUUUGAGGUCUCUCCAAAAACAAAAGGAGAAAAAAAGGUAAUAUAAUUUUUUUUUCAUUUAUUUUGAUUAACCGAAGGCUUCUGUUGAAACAUCAAUGGCUCCCCGUUGGUUAGUAACUGAAUCCAAACCCCUGGGCCUAGCAAUUUGGGCCUUGCAUUUAGCCCAAGCUAUUAUUUCCAACCUUAUUUGCAAUUUCCGCCACCCCCCCACCCCCAAACUGCAGCUUCUGAGUGUUCCGCAAACAAGCCCAGCAUCCAUUUCUCUGCUCUCAUCUUUCUCUUCCCUGGUAUGCUGUUCCCAGCUCUGAGUCCCAUCUCUCCUCUCAGUCCAGGCUCCGAUGCCACCUUUGCCCUCCCUGACCUCCGUCAUCUCUCCCAGACUCUGAGGUGGAAGCUCUUCAGCAUCUUCCAAGGUUGUGAGAGCUAGGGACAGCCCGGCCCGCUCUGCUGGACCACCACUUGAUGGCAUGACUCUACUCGGAUUCAGCUUUGGCAAACCUUAAAGGACCAACCCAGAGCCUUUCCCACAAGUCAGACUCAAUCAGGUUUGAUGAAUUAACAAUUGGCUAAAGUAACACCAAGAGUAUCACUAGAUAGCCCAAAUUCUAAGAAAGCCUUAUCACAAAUUGUUCUGCUUCUCCAGCUGUCACCCGUCCUUCCCAACCCACGUCCUUCCCAACCCACAACCUUCCCAACCCACAACCGCCACAACCAGGAUUGAAUGCUAAUGUUCUUUAGUGGAGGACGGAGAGUUUGAAUAACUUGUCUGCGAUAAUAAUACCCAGGCAUAGGUCAAGGUAGAGCUCGUGCCAACUAGGUCUCGGAGGACACUCUAACCUCAGGUAAUGAUGACGUUCAAAGGAGACUUACAUUUUAAUUCUAAUAAUGGUAAAACUAAUUUAUUUGAGGGUUUUCUUGCCCCCUCACUCCACUCCCCCACCCUCCCAACGGCAAGUUCUAGAUACUUGUCAGUAGCACCAGGAAGACGCAGACUUACUUCAUCACUAAACUGUUGACUGGUUCAGCUCACUUCUCUCCACCCAUCCCUCCCCACCUCCCCCCCCAUAUGCCCUUGGGGCACAUCUGUUUUAUUUUUCCCCUUUAUCAAAACAAUUGUUAUUACCGCUCAGUCCAGUAAUUUGCAAUUCCCUCUAUCUUCUUCGCUGAAAAGACUGGCCAGCAGCCGAUCCCUGGUUAUCACGGGACCUCUGGAGGCCGUGAGCAGGUACCACUGGGCGUGCGCAUGAAGCUAGCCGGCAGCCCUGUCCACUGCCCGCUCCCGGGGAGACCUUGCCUUUUGCUAUGCCCGGCCCUUCCCGUUUUUCUGGAUUAGAUCAUGACUCUUUCAUGAAGACCCAGAGGGAAAUGGCAUUAUUAAGAGUCUUGCCGGGUAAAAGCUGUUUUGUCUUUAUGACGACUUUUUUGAGUUCAGCUGCUGAGGGGCCUUCCUGCGGGGGGUAGAAGUUAUCACACAUUUGGGGGAGCUCCUUCAACACGGUGCUCCCUGCUGAGCACACUUCAGUGAUGGAGGAUGGAAGAGGAGAGGAAAGGAGAGGAGAGAGAGGGAAAAAAUCAGUAGAGGCGAGAACACUGAAAGCAGAGGAACGAGGUGAGAAAAAACGCAGACAUAAAUCUAAGAUGCACACCCAGCAGAGGAUGCCUGCCUCUGAAGAGCAGUGUGCCACCAGAGACUCUGACGCUCAGGAAACACAGACCUUCGUCUGAGCUGAGGACGAAUAAUUACUUACUUACUAAAAAAACUCAUAAAAAUAACAUAAACUUACCACAACGGUUACAGUGUGCUAUGAUCACAAGAUACAGUUACUCACUGAAGCUGUUUUAAAGAUUGAAUGACGUUGGAACAAGCUUACUAAGUACUGAACAGUAUUCUGUGUGAUCUGACCUAGCACAGCAACCCUAGGAAGUGGCUAUUAUUAUCAAACACACUCUAUAGGUAGGGAAACUGAGGCACAAAGGGAUUCAGUCCUCUGGGUCACAGAGCUGGCACAUGGCUGAGCCGAAUUUUAAACCCUGGCUCAAUGCUUCCGAAGCUGGAAGUUCCACUGAAGGUCGUCCCCAAACUUUCCAGUGACAAACUCACUUAGUGGCAUCCAGGGAAAGACAAAUGUUUUGCUUGUUUGAAAACUCCUUUUUCCCUGCCUGUGCCAGCAAUCUGUCUGUGUGAACAAUGAGAGAUGUGUUCAAGGCUGGGGUGUGAGUGGGCUGGAAGCACUUAACACCUUCUCCACUCCCUGAGCGCACAGGCGCCUGGCUCCUAGUCACCCUGGCCCUCUGUCUGUGUACUGGAAACCACGGUGUGUGUUGAGGGGGAGAGCGUGUGGGUAGGAUGCUCAGGUCUGAAACCACGGGUUAUGGGUUUUUUGUUGACAACUCCCACUUCUUUCCUUUCCUCUCAGCCCCACUCUUCGCUGUCCUAAAUGCCACGUUGUUAUUGUUCUGCUGGAGAGGAGCAGCAUUUUCAGAAAUGGGGGAAUUUAUUUUUAUAGCACAGCUGGUCUGCCAAAGGUCACAUAAUUUGGCAACGUUCCCAGUGGUUAAAAAUUAAUUUCUCCUUAUUAAUACAACCAAGGUCCCAUAGGAUCAGAGCUCAGGCUUAUCUAAACUUGACAGCUUCCUAAACCUUUAGAAGAUGCUUUCUCCUGGAGGGCCAGCCAGACCACAAGGCCACUGUGUCCUGGAAUCCCAGUCCACUGAGUCCUGCUAGGUAAUGGAACUAUUAAGGCCCUCGGCCUUUGCUCGGGAAGGCAGAGAAAGCUUUGAAAGAUGCUGUGGGCUCUCCAGGAGAAACUUCUGCAGUAUCUUCCAGGAAUGGGUUAAUUAAAAAGAAAAAGUGAAUUCCUUGCCAGGAAGGAACAGUACAAAGACUAACUUCGGGGGAUCAAAACAUGUCUUGUCUAUGCCUCAAAGAUUAUCCAGCGGCAAGUGAUGGUCAGAUGAUAAAAUACCUCAACUAUGUUAAUGAUGCUACAAACUACUGCCCAGAUGUCACUUUUCAAGUUCUAUCUCGUCAGUGCAAGAAAUUAAAAAGGUAUUAUGCUUCUGCUCCACUG